GGCCCAAUACUGACACUGAGGAGCGAAAGCGUGGGGAGCGAACAGGAUUAGAUACCCUGGUAGUCCACGCCGUAAACGGUGGGCGCUAGUUGUGCGAACCUUCCACGGUUUGUGCGACGCAGCUAACGCAUUAAGCGCCCCGCCUGGGGAGUACGAUCGCAAGAUUAAAACUCAAAGGAAUUGACGGGGCCCCGCACAAGCAGCGGAGCAUGCGGCUUAAUUCGACGCAACGCGAAGAACCUUACCAAGGCUUGACAUAUACAGGAAUACGGCAGAGAUGUCGUAGCGGUUAAACGUCUGUAUACGGGUGGUGCAUGGUUGUCGUCAGCUCGUGUCGUGAGAUGUUGGGUUAAGUCCCGCAACGAGCGCAACCCUCGUUCUGUGUUGCCAGCACGUAAUGGUGGGAACUCAUGGGAGACUGCCGGGGUCAACUCGGAGGAAGGUGGGGAUGACGUCAAAUCAUCAUGCCCCUUAUGUCUUGGGCUUCACGCAUGCUACAAUGGCCGAUACAAAGGGCUGCAAUACCGCAAGGUGGAGCGAAUCCCAUAAAGUCGGUCUCAGUUCGGAUUGGGGUCUGCAACUCGACCCCAUGAAGUCGGAGUCGCUAGUAAUCGUAGAUCAGCAACGCUACGGUGAUACGUUCCCGGGCCUUGUACACACCGCCCGUCAAGUCACGAAAGUCGGUAACACCCGAAGCCGGUGGCCUAACCGUAAGGAA
rnacentral:rRNA from 1 species